rnacentral:rRNA from 1 species
GAUGAACGCUGGCGGCGUGCCUAAUACAUGCAAGUCGAGCGAACGGACGAGAAGCUUGCUUCUCUGAUGUUAGCGGCGGACGGGUGAGUAACACGUGGAUAACCUACCUAUAAGACUGGGAUAACUUCGGGAAACCGGACCUAAUACCGGAUAAUAUUUUGAACCGCAUGGUUCAAAAGUUAAAGACGGUCUUGCUGUCACUUAUAGAUGGAUCCGCGCUGCAUUAGCUAGUUGUUAAGGUAACGGCUUACCAAGGCAACGAUGCAUAGCCGACCUGAGAGGGUGAUCGGCCACACUAGAACUGAGACACGGUCCAGACUCCUACGGGAGGCAGCAGUAGGGAAUCUUCCGCAAUGGGCGAAAGCCUGACGGAGCAACGCCGCGUGAGUGAUGAAGGUCUUCGGAUCGUAAAACUCUGUUAUUAGGGAAGAACAUAUGUGUAAGUAACUGUGCACAUCUUGACGGUACCUAAUCAGAAAGCCACGGCUAACUACGUG